rnacentral:rRNA from 1 species
GAUGAACGCUGGCGGCAUGCCUAACACAUGCAAGUCGAACGGACUUAGUUGAAGCCUAGCGAUACUAAGUUAGUGGCGGACGGGUGAGUAAGGUUUGGGAAACUGCCUGAUAGAGGGGGACAACAGUUGGAAACGACUGCUAAUACCGCAUAUAGCCGAGAGGUGAAAGGAGCAAUCCGCUAUCAGAUGUGCCCAAAUGGGAUUAGCUAGUAGGUGAGGUAAAGGCUCACCUAGGCGACGAUCUCUAGCUGGUCUGAGAGGAUGAUCAGCCACAUUGGGACUGAGACACGGCCCAGACUCCUACGGGAGGCAGCAGUAGGGAAUAUUGCACAAUGGAGGAAACUCUGAUGCAGCCAUGCCGCGUGUGUGAAGAAGGCCUUCGGGUUGUAAAGCACUUUCAGAGGGGAGGAUAAUGACGUUACCCUCAGAAGAAGCACCGGCUAACUCCGUG